rnacentral:rRNA from 1 species
UACGUAGGGUGCGAGCGUUGUCCGGAAUUACUGGGCGUAAAGAGCUCGUAGGUGGUUUGUCGCGUCGUCUGUGAAAUUCCGGGGCUUAACUCCGGGCGUGCAGGCGAUACGGGCAUAACUUGAGUACUGUAGGGGAGACUGGAAUUCCUGGUGUAGCGGUGAAAUGCGCAGAUAUCAGGAGGAACACCGGUGGCGAAGGCGGGUCUCUGGGCAGUUACUGACGCUGAGGAGCGAAAGCAUGGGUAGCGAACAGGAUUAGAUACCCCCGUAGU